GUUUGAUGUAAGCUCCAGAUUGAACCUAGCGGGAUGCUUUACACAUACAAGUCGAACGGCAGCACGGACUUCAGUCUGGUGGCGAGUGGUGAACAGGUGAGUAAUGUAUCAGGUGAAGUACCUAGUAGCGGGGAUAACUACGGCUUGUAGCUAAUGCCAUACCUCCCUUCGGGGAAAAGCGGGGACGGCUUCGGGCCUCAGCACUAUUGAAGCAGCCGAUAUCCGGAUUGGCUAGUUGGUGGGGUAACGGCUCGCCAAGGCGACGAUCCGUAGCUGGUUUGAGGACGACCAGCCACACUGGGACGGAGCCGCAGCCCAGACUCCUGAGGAGGCAGCAGUGGGGAAUUUUGGACAAUGGGGGAAACCCUGAUCCAGCCAUCCCCGCGUGUGCAGUGAAGGCCUUCGGGUUGCUUGUAAAGCACUUUUGGCAGGAAAAGGAAACGGCACGGAUAAUACCCGUGCAACUGACGAUAUAGAAUAAGCACCGGCUAACUACGAUGCCAGCAACCCGCAGGCAUACGUAGAGUGCAAGCGUUAAUCGGAAUUACUGGGCGUAAAGCGUGCGCAGACGGUUCGGAAGAAGAUGUGAAAUCCCAGAGCUUAACUUUGGAACUGCAUUUUUAACUACCGAGCUAGAGUGUGUCAGAGGAGGUGGAAUUCCACGUGUAGCAGUGAAAUGCAUAGAUAUGCGGAGGGGCCACCGAUGGCGAAGGCAGCCUCCUGGGAUAGCACUGACGCUCCAUGCACGAAAGCGUGGGAGCAAACAGGAUUAGAUCCCUGGUAGUCCGCCUAAACGAUGUCCAACUAGCUGUUGGGGCCUUCGGGCCUUGGUAGCGCAACUAACGCGUGAAGUUGACCACCUGGGGAGGCCCGGUCGCAAGAUUAAAACUCAAAGGAAUUGACGGGGACCACAAGCGGUGGAUGAUGUGGAUUAAUUCGAUGCAACGCGAAAACCUUACCUACCCUUGACAUGUCUGGAAUCCCGAAGAGAUUUGGGAGUGCUCGCAAAGGCAGAUUACAAGGUGCUGCAUGGCUGUCGUCAGCUCGUGUCGUGAGAUGUUGGGUUAAGUCCACCAACGAAGCGCAACCCUUGUCGUGCUGGAUUGCUACGAAAGGGCGCUCUAAUGAGACUGCCGGUGACAAACCGGAGGAAGGUGGGGACUGACGUCAGUCUCAUGGCCCUUAUGGGUAGGGCUUCACACGUCAUACAAUGGUCAGGACAGAGGUCGCCAACCCGCGAGGAGCAAUCCCAGAAACCCGAUCGUAGUCCCGGAUCGCAGUCUGCAACUCGGCGGUCAGGGAAUCAUAGUAAUCGCGGAUCAACGCUGUCGCGGUGAAUACGUUCACGGGUCUUGUACACACCGCCCGUCACACCAUGGGAGUGGGUUUUGCAAAAGUAGUUUAGCCUAACCGUAAGGAGGGCGAUUACCACGGUAGGAUUCAUGACUGGGGUGAAGUCGUAACAAAGUAGCUAUUUACGGAUGCUCCAGA
rnacentral:rRNA from 1 species